rnacentral:tRNA from 2 species
GGGCCGGUAGUUCAGACUGGUAGAAUACGCGCAUGGCAUGCGUGGGGUCAAGGGUUCAAAUCCCUUUCGGUCCA